rnacentral:rRNA from 1 species
UACGUAGGGUGCGAGCGUUAAUCGGAUUUACUGGGCGUAAAGCGUGCGCAGGCGGCCCGUUAAGACAGGUGUGAAAUCCCUGGGCUUAACCUAGGAAUUGCGCUUGUGACUGGCGGGCUCGAGUACGGUAGAGGGGGGUGGAAUUCCUGGUGUAGCAGUGAAAUGCGUAGAGAUCAGGAGGAACACCGAUGGCGAAGGCAGCCCCCUGGGCCUGUACUGACGCUCAUGCACGAAAGCGUGGGGAGCAAACAGG